rnacentral:tRNA from 1 species
ACUUAGUAUAAUAAAUAUAGUGGGUUUAGGACCUGAAGAUUUUUGGUAUAUUAUGU